UACGUAGGAGGCAAGCGUUGUCCGGAAUUACUGGGUGUAAAGGGCGUGUAGGCGGGUAUAUAAGACAGAUGUGAAAUUCCGGGGCUUAACUCUGGAGCUGCAUCUGAAACUAUAUAUCUUGAGUGUUGGAGAGGAAAGCGGAAUUCCUAGUGUAGUGGUGAAAUGCGUAGAUAUUAGGAGGAACACCGGUGGCGAAGGCGGCUUUCUGGACAAUAACUGACGCUGAGGCGCGAAAGCGUGGGGAGCACACAGG
rnacentral:rRNA from 1 species